CCUACGGGUGGCAGCAGUGGGGAAUAUUGACAAUGGGGGGAACCCUGAUCCAGCCAUGCCGCGUGUGUGAAGAAGGCCCUCGGGUUGUAAAGCACUUUCAGUGAGGAAGAACGCCUGGUGGUUAAUACCCAUCAGGAAAGACAUCACUCACAGAAGAAGCACCGGCUAACUCCGUGCCAGCAGCCGCGGUAAUACGGAGGGUGCGAGCGUUAAUCGGAAUUACUGGGCGUAAAGCGCGCGUAGGUGGCUUGAUAAGCCGGUUGUGAAAGCCCCGGGCUCAACCUGGGAACGGCAUCCGGAACUGUCAAGCUAGAGUGCAGGAGAGGAAGGUAGAAUUCCCGGUGUAGCGGUGAAAUGCGUAGAGAUCGGGAGGAAUACCAGUGGCGAAGGCGGCCUUCUGGACUGACACUGACACUGAGGUGCGAAAGCGUGGGUAGCAAACAGGAUUAGAUACCCUAGUAGUC
rnacentral:rRNA from 1 species